rnacentral:rRNA from 1 species
CUGGAUUCAGCGGCGGACGGGUGAGUAAUGCUUAGGAAUCUGCCUAUUAGUGGGGGACAACGUUCCGAAAGGAGCGCUAAUACCGCAGACGUCCUACGGGAGAAAGCAGGGGACCUUCGGGCCUUGCGCUAAUAGAUGAGCCUAAGUCGGAUUAGCUAGUUGGUAGGGUAAAGGCCUACCAAGGCGACGAUCUGUAGCGGGUCUGAGAGGAUGAUCCGCCACACUGGGACUGAGACACGGCCCAGACUCCUACGGGAGGCAGCAGUGGGGAAUAUUGGACAAUGGGGGGAACCCUGAUCCAGCCAUGCCGCGUGUGUGAAGAAGGCCUUUUGGUUGUAAAGCACUUUAAGCGAGGAGGAGGCUACCUAGAUUAAUACUUUAGGAUAGUGGACGUUACUCGCAGAAUAAGCACCGGCUAACUCUGUGCCAGCAGCCGCGGUAAUACAGAGGGUGCGAGCGUUAAUCGGAUUUACUGGGCGUAAAGCGUGCGUAGGCGGCCAAUUAAGUCAAAUGUGAAAUCCCCGAGCUUAACUUGGGAAUUGCAUUCGAUACUGGUUGGCUAGAGUAUGGGAGAGGAUGGUAGAAUUCCAGGUGUAGCGGUGAAAUGCGUAGAGAUCUGGAGGAAUACCGAUGGCGAAGGCAGCCAUCUGGCCUAAUACUGACGCUGAGGUACGAAAGCAUGGGGAGCAAACAGGAUUAGAUACCCUGGUAGUCCAUGCCGUAAACGAUGUCUACUAGCCGUUGGGGCCCUUGAGGCUUUAGUGGCGCAGCU